GCCCUGGUGGCUUAGUGGUUAAGUGCUGUGGCUGCUAACCAAAAGUUCAGUGGUUCAGAUCCACCAGGGGCU
rnacentral:tRNA from 1 species